UUUUUUAUAUAAAUGUUAUUUAUUUGUCUGACGUAGGUGGUAGAGGAAUUAUUAUCUUCAAUAGUUAAGCGAUUGAUUAUCAGAAAAUUUGGAAAAUGGUCACUUAUAUCGGAUUUUAUGAUACCACUUUUAGUUUUAUAAAACAUGUAGUUAUUUGUUAUAAUAUUGUCAAUGAUUGAAGAAGUUAAGGAAGUUACACGCGUCGGUUAGUUUAUAAGUGGUAUAAAACUGUGCUGAAGAAGUGUAAUUACAAAGCGCCUGACGUCGGAAUCGCAAUUUGUAUUUAAAAGGUUUAUGUUAAAGUCACCUGUUAAAUGAAUGUUUUUACUUGUCUCAGGUAAUAUGCGUUCCAGAUGUUUUUGAAGUAGUUCGAAAUUGCCAUUGGGUGGUCUGUAUAGAGCAGUAAUGAAAGUAUUUUUAGCUUUCUUUUAUCUCAAUAGUUAUCGAUUCGCAGUCUUCAUUAUUUAUGCUAAGGUUUUCUAUCUUUUUGAAAAUAAAAGAAUCUAAAACAAAAAUACACACUCCUCCACCGAUGCCCUUUUUUCUUGCUUGAUGAGUUGAUUUAAAACCCGAUAAAUAAAAAUUUGAGUUUGAAUCAUCUCCGUUUUGAAACCAGGUUUAACAGCGAAAAAAAGUUGACGAAGAACUAAGAAAGGUAGAAGCCUCACUGACAUUAAAAUAAUUGGUUUCGAUUGAAAGUUUGUCAAAAAUGUUUACGUCAGGAUCAAUGUCAUUUGUUAAAAGUAUAUUAUCUCUGUGAGACAUAUUUAAAAUGUUUGGUAUAUUGGUUUCCGCCAUGUUGAAUAUUAACAAUUUUGUCAUACCUGCAAAAACUCGAAAAAUAUGGAGUAAAAAACAUCAACCUAAAUUGGUUUCAAAGUUACCUUAAAAAUAGAAAACAAGGAGUAUCUUAUACCACAUCUUGUUCAAAGCUAGAAACAGUUAGUUGUGGAGUUCCUCAAGGCUCUAUUCUUGGACCCCUACUGUUUCUAAUCUAUGUGAAUUACAUAUACCGUUCCUCAGAUAUGCUUAACUUUAUUCUUUUCACAGAUGAUACUACUAUUUCUUACUCCGACUCCAAUAUUUAAACAAUUUUUACCAUAGUAAAUCGUGAGCUGACAAACCUGGAAGAUUGGUUCAAAGCAAACAAACUCUCUUUAAAUAUUAGUAAAACUAAAUAUGUUUUAUUUCAUAAGCCAUCUAAGUCAGAUAGUUUUCCUCUUCAACUUCCUCAGUUAGUCAUAAACAGAAUUAUUGUAAAAAGAGUCGUGUCAAUGAAAAUCCUGGGAGUAAUAUUUGAUGAACAUUUUAAUUGGAAAAGUCAUAUUACGCUCGUUAAAAACAAAAUUUCUAAAACAAUAGGCGUUAUGUAUAAAACAAAACACCUACUAAGUAAAAAAUGCUUAAAAGAUAUAUACUACUCUUUUAUUCAUAGUUACAUUAGCUACUGUAACAUUGCUUGGGCCAGUACUUGUUCAUCAGCAUUAAAGAAAAUAUAUAAAAAACAAAAACAAGCCAGUAGAGUUAUAUGUAAUAUGCAUAAUUGUGCCCACGCCAAACCGUUACUCCGUGAAAUCAAAGCUUUAAACGUCUAUGAGUUAAAUUUGUACCAAAACCUAUUAUUUAUAUUUAAAUAUCAAAACGACAUGCUUCCUAAAUUCUUUAACAAUCAUUUUUUAAUUAUUUCUCAUAAAUACUUAACGAGGGACUCUAUUCACAAUUUUAACUUACCUAAGUCAACAUUAAAAAAAAACAGAUUACUCAAUUUCAUAUAGAGGACCUCGUCUAUGGAACAGAAUUCUUGACGACAAAAUGAAAAGUAUAACCUUAAUACAAUCUUUUAAAAAUGUAGUUAAACAGAAUUUGCUCGACUUAACAGAUACAAACAUACUUUUAUAUUUUUAGUUUUAAAAUUUAAUUUUUUUUUUACGUUACUUAUUUGUUUUUC